UGCAGUAGAACGCUGAAGAGAGGAGCUUGCUCUUCUUGGAUGAGUUGCGAACGGGUGAGUAACGCGUAGGUAACCUGCCUUGUAGCGGGGGAUAACUAUUGGAAACGAUAGCUAAUACCGCAUAACAAUGGAUGACACAUGUCAUUUAUUUGAAAGGGGCAAUUGCUCCACUACAAGAUGGACCUGCGUUGUAUUAGCUAGUAGGUGAGGUAACGGCUCACCUAGGCGACGAUACAUAGCCGACCUGAGAGGGUGAUCGGCCACACUGGGACUGAGACACGGCCCAGACUCCUACGGGAGGCAGCAGUAGGGAAUCUUCGGCAAUGGGGGCAACCCUGACCGAGCAACGCCGCGUGAGUGAAGAAGGUUUUCGGAUCGUAAAGCUCUGUUGUAAGUCAAGAACGAGUGUGAGAGUGGAAAGUUCACACUGUGACGGUAGCUUACCAGAAAGGGACGGCUAACUACGUGCCAGCAGCCGCGGUAAUACGUAGGUCCCGAGCGUUGUCCGGAUUUAUUGGGCGUAAAGCGAGCGCAGGCGGUUUGAUAAGUCUGAAGUUAAAGGCUGUGGCUCAACCAUAGUUCGCUUUGGAAACUGUCAAACUUGAGUGCAGAAGGGGAGAGUGGAAUUCCAUGUGUAGCGGUGAAAUGCGUAGAUAUAUGGAGGAACACCGGUGGCGAAAGCGGCUCUCUGGUCUGUAACUGACGCUGAGGCUCGAAAGCGUGGGGAGCGAACAGGAUUAGAUACCCUGGUAGUCCACGCCGUAAACGAUGAGUGCUAGGUGUUGGAUCCUUUCCGGGAUUCAGUGCCGCAGCUAACGCAUUAAGCACUCCGCCUGGGGAGUACGACCGCAAGGUUGAAACUCAAAGGAAUUGACGGGGGCCCGCACAAGCGGUGGAGCAUGUGGUUUAAUUCGAAGCAACGCGAAGAACCUUACCAGGUCUUGACAUCCCGAUGCUAUUUCUAGAGAUAGAAAGUUACUUCGGUACAUCGGUGACAGGUGGUGCAUGGUUGUCGUCAGCUCGUGUCGUGAGAUGUUGGGUUAAGUCCCGCAACGAGCGCAACCCCUAUUGUUAGUUGCCAUCAUUCAGUUGGGCACUCUAGCGAGACUGCCGGUAAUAAACCGGAGGAAGGUGGGGAUGACGUCAAAUCAUCAUGCCCCUUAUGACCUGGGCUACACACGUGCUACAAUGGUUGGUACAACGAGUUGCGAGUCGGUGACGGCAAGCUAAUCUCUUAAAGCCAAUCUCAGUUCGGAUUGUAGGCUGCAACUCGCCUACAUGAAGUCGGAAUCGCUAGUAAUCGCGGAUCAGCACGCCGCGGUGAAUACGUUCCCGGGCCUUGUACACACCGCCCGUCACACCACGAGAGUUUGUAACACCCGAAGUCGGUGAGGUAACCUUUUGGAGCCAGCCGCCUAAGG
rnacentral:rRNA from 1 species